GCCAGUGUGGCAUAGUGGUUUGAGCACUGGACUAUGACUCUAGGGACCAGGGUUCAUUUCCCAGCUUGGUCA
rnacentral:tRNA from 1 species